rnacentral:lncRNA from 14 species
UUUAUCCCUCAAUUUAUCCCUGAAUCCAUCAAUUUAUCCCUCAAUUUAUCACUGAAUCCAUCAAUUUAUUCCUGAAUUUAUCACUGAAUCCGUCAAUUUAUCCCUGAAUCCAUCAAUUUAUCCCUCAGUUUAUCCCUGAAUCCAUCAAUUUAUCCCUGAAUUUAUCCCUGAAUCAUUCAAUUUAUCCCUGAAUUCCUCAAUUUAUCCCUCAAUUUAUCCCUGAAUCCAUCAAUUUAUCCCUGAAUUUAUCCCUGAAUCCUUCAAUUUAUCCCUCAAUUUAUCCCUGAAUUCCUCAAUUUAUCCCUGAAUUCCUCAAUUUAUCCUCGAAUCCCCCAGUUUAUCCCUGAAUUUAUCCCUGAAUCCCUCAGUUUAUCCCUGAAUUUAUCCCUGAAUCCCUCAAUUUAUCCCUGAAUCCCUCAGUUUAUCCCUGAAUUUAUCCCUGAAUCCCUCAAUUUAUCCCUGAAUUUAUCCCUGAAUCCCUCAGUUUAUCCUGAUUUAGGGAAUUUGGGAGCCCAAGCUCCCAGCUCAAGCAGAGAUGCAGAAGGUUUGAGGACCCCUCAGCCGCUCCCAGCCAGCCCAUUGAUGCCCAGAGCCUCAGUUCUCCCUUUGCUGUGGGGUUUCCCAUUCUCUUUCCCUCUUCCCAUGGUUUUCCCCAUAGGAGCAGGAGGCCGUGGUCGCCGCCAUCACCGACUCCCCGAAGCCCCCACCGGAGCGGAUCACGUUCACACUGCCGGUGCUGAACGCGGCCAAGGCCGUGGUGUUCGUGGCCACGGGCGAAGGCAAAGCCGCUGUGGUCAAGCGCAUCUUGGAAGGGGAUGAGGAGAACCCCCUGCCCGCUGCUCGCGUCCGGCCUCGCUCCGGGCAGCUCUGCUGGAUCCUGGAUGAGGCAGCAGCCAAGGAGCUGACGAUCCCGGUGGAGAAUUCCAUCCCAUAGAGCCCAUGGAGGGGGGUUGGGGCAGCUCCGGGACAUUCCAGGUUCUCACCGCUGCUCUUCCAGACGUGGCCGAGAUCCCGGGAUUGGAAGCGUUCAACAGCGAUUCCCAUGUUUGCACAUCCCAACAUCAGCCCAGAUGUGUCCUUUGCCUGUUCCUGCAUCCCAAAGCUCGGCUAUUCCUGGCUGGUUCUUCCCCCCCCCCCGCACUGUUGGGAGCAGCCACAGCUCCCACUGGAGCUCAUAUUCCAGGCCUGAUGUCAUGGGAGGGAACAAGGGAGCUUUGAGGGGCAGGAUGCAGCCGCCCUAUGGAAACACGGAGCUGAAUCCAGGCUCCCGGUGCUUGGAAGUUGACAUUUGAGGGGUUUUUUUCCUUGGAAGGAGGAUUUUGGAGGUGAAAGACUUGGAAUUUGGAGGGGAAAUGCUUGAAAAUAACGUUGGGGAGGGAAAACUACUGGAAUUUGGGGGGGGGAAAGACUUGGAAGUGGGAUUUUGACGUUGGAAACAAGACAUUUGGAAGGUAAAAUACGAACUGCCCCUUUGUGACCCCAUCUGGGGGCAUGGAUCCAACCGGAUC